UACAGAGGGUGCGAGCGUUAAUCGGAAUUACUGGGCGUAAAGCGCACGUAGGCGGCUUGGUAUGUCGGGUGUGAAAUCCCCGGGCUCAACCUGGGAACUGCAUCCGAAACUGCCUUGCUCGAGUAUGGGAGAGGGAAGUGGAAUUUCCGGUGUAGCGGUGAAAUGCGUAGAUAUCAGGAAGAACACCCGUGGCUAAGGCGGUUCUCUAGUACGGUACUGACGCUGAGACGCGAAAGCGUGGGGAGCGAACAGG
rnacentral:rRNA from 1 species